GGAGAACUUGGCUUUCGCUGAACAUUGCAGAGAAGACAAAUCUGCUACUCCUGGACAAUAUUCACCAACUAAUCAGAAAAUUUCUUCACUCCACAAUGAAGAGGAACACAGAGGAGUUUCAGAUGAGUCCAACAUGGAAUUUCAAGAUGCUCCCAGAAACAUUUUCCUUGGAGGGCUUUCUGCCUGUGUUCUAGGCUAUCCCACGGGUGCACACUGAAGCAUGACUGCACAGUGUAUCAAAUUGCAAAUGUGUUCUGGGAACCAAGUGCAAAACUCAGUGCUUACCACUGUGAAAGAAGAGAGAUGAGCACAGAGGAUUUAUCAACACACACAAACUGACAUCACGUUUCCAUCCAGAAAGAGACCAAGUUCCCAAUUCUUUCUGCUUC
ensembl:lncRNA